rnacentral:rRNA from 1 species
UACGUAGGGGGCAAGCGUUGUCCGGAAUCAUUGGGCGUAAAGAGCUCGUAGGCGGUUUGUUGCGUCGGCUGUGAAAUCCCGAGGCUCAACCUCGGGUCUGCAGUCGAUACGAGCAAACUAGAGUGUUGCAGGGGAGACUGGAAUUCCUGGUGUAGCGGUGAAAUGCGCAGAUAUCAGGAGGAACACCGGUGGCGAAGGCGGGUCUCUGGGCAACAACUGACGUGGAGGAGCGAAAGCGUGGGGAGCGAACAGG